UAUCUUAGUUCCUUUAAUACCUUGAGCUUUCUGAAGUUACACAACAUGUCUAUUUUAUUUGUACCUAUUAAAUGUCCAAAGAGUAGGUAUUUAAAAAGUUCCAUUGAAUAAGUAGACUUCACAAACAGGUUGUCCCUGUUGGCAAUUAAAUUCCAAACGUAGAACAUUCCAGGCAGAUCAUCUUUUUUUAAAAAAUAAUUAUUUAUUUAUUUGAAAGGCAGAGAGAAAGAGGGACAUUUCUUCCAUUCACUGGUUCACUAUGCAAGUGGCUGCAACAGCUAGCUCUUAGGGCCAGGAGCCACAAAUGCCGUUUUGGUCUUCCAUGUAGGCGGCAAGGGCCUAAGUACUUGAGCAAUCUUCUACUCCCAAUGUAUAUUAGGGGAAGCUUUCUUUCUUUCUUUCUUUCUUUCUUUCUUUCUUUCUUUUUAAAGAUUUAUUUAUUUGAAAGAAUUACAGAGCAAGGUAGAGACACAGAGAGAGGUCUUCUAUCCGCUGGUUUGCUCCCCAGAUGGCCGCAAUGGCUGGAGCUGCGCCGAUCUGAAGCCAGGAGCCAGAAGCUUCUUCUGGGUCUCCCAUGUGGGUGCAGAGGCCCAAGCACUUGGGGCCAUCUUCCACUAUUCCAGGCCACAGCAGAGAGCUGGAUUGGAAGAGGAGCAGCUGGGACUAGAACCUGUGCCCACAUGGGAUGCCAGCGCUGCAGGCCAGGGCUUUAACCUAACGCUGUGCCACAGUGCCGCCAGCCAGGGGCAGCUUUAUUUAAAAAAAAAAAAAUUGCUUAUUUAUUUGAAAGGCAGAGUGACACAGAGAGAGGGAAAUACAGAGACAGAGAUAUCUUUCAUCCACUGGUUUACUACCCAAGUAGCCACACAGCCAUGUCUGGGCCAGGCUGAAGACAUGAGCUGGCAACUCCAUCCUGGUCUCCUAAAUGAGUGGAAAGGGCUCAAACACUUGGGCCAUCUUCUACUGCCUUCUCAGGCACAUUAGCAGGAAGCUGGAUUGGAAACUGAGUAGCUGGGACUUGAGCCAGCACUCUACUAUGGAAUGCAGAGGUCCCAAGCUACAGCUUAACCUGCUGUAUAGUACAAGGCCAGCUGCAAAUAAUUUUUUUUCUGGUAUAUCCACUCAAGCAAAGCACUAUUUUGAUGACCCCAUGACAGAAAGUGAAAUCAUUAGAAAUGAAAUCACUUUCACUGGAUCCUCCCUUGCUCUUACACAUUUGUGUGUACUCCCAAGCAAGAUUUUUGUUCCCUCAUUUACAAGUCUCAGCCUCUUUCACUGAAAACUUAAGGAAUAUGGUACAAAAGUAGGUGAUGAUUGUAUAAGUCAACUGUUGUGCCUGGGAUAGCCCUAUUUUUUUUUUUAAUUUUUUUUUUUUGACAGGCAGAGUGGACAGUGAGAGAGAGAGACAGAGAGAGAAAGGUCUUCCUUUGCCGUUGGUUCACCCUCCAAUGGCCGCCGCUGCAGCCGGCGCACCGCGCUGAUCCGAUGGCAGGAGCCAGGAUCCAGGUGCUUUUCCUGGUCUCCCAUGGGGUGCAGGGCCCAAGCACCUGGGCCAUCCUCCACUGUACUCCCUGGCCAUAGCAGAGAGCUGGCCUGGAAGAGGGGCAACCGGGGCAGAAUCCGGCACCCCGACCGGGACUAGAACCCGGUGUGCCGGCGCCGCAAGGUGGAGGAUUAGCCUAUUGAGCCACGGCGCCGGCUCGGAUAGCCCUAUUUUUAUGCUUGUUCCCUCUCCAUGAUUGAUAGGGCCCUCUCUUCCCCUCUUUAAAUGUCCUGGUUUGCCAAGAAGGUCACCCUAUGUGUUAUACCUAAUCUUUCUCUUCUCAUCCUGUAAUUCCCCAUUUCCAUGUUAAAUCCAGGAAAUUGUGGCCUCCAGUCUAAAAUUUGGCAAGAUAAGAGUAACAUGGUAAAAUAAAUUUUGUUUAAAGGUUUGCUUCUACUAGGAAAAUAACCUAUUGCUACUAGGAAAAUAACCUAAGGUUAGAUCCUAAUACAAGAAGUAGAUCAAUGUUUAAACACACAAAUAUUUAAGACAUUUAACAUUUUUCUGAUUUAUAAUGAUAAAAGACACAUGGAAACAUGUUCAAAUUAGGUAAUGAAUUGAGGAAAACAGUGAGUGCCUACCAUAUGCCAGGUUGUCAUUAAUCACUUUCAUGAGGCUUACUUAAUCAUUUCAGUCUUUCUAUGAUGGGUUGGCAAACUUUUAAGAGUCAUGUGGUAAAUAUCUUAGAUUUUGUGGUCCAAGAGGCAAAAUUCAUGGUUCCUAUGCAGAUAUGUAUAAACAAGAGGGAGGAAAAAAGUAACCAUAAAAUUCAUGCUGAUGAAAUUCAAAAUAUAAUAAUUGAAUACAAAUUUUUGUAAUGCUAAGGAAAAAACAGAAUUGUUUUUGGUGGGAAAGACAGCAUUCUUCUCGACUGGAACUCAAAGUUAAGUGUUCUUUACCAAAAUCAAUAACAAAUGCUUAUCUGUUAAUGCUGGUUUCUAAUGAUAUUUUAUGUGUUUUAUCUUUGAAAAUAUCUUUUCAUACAGAUAGAUACUGCCAAAUACUGAUAUGAAUCCCCAACUAUAUGGUUUUAAUUCAACAUAUUCAUCACUGGGAAGGCUUUUACACAAUUUCAUUAGAUUCUUCUCUGAACAUUUGCCUUUAAGCACAUCAUUACAUUGCAGAUUAAUUGAUUCCAAUUGAAGUUUAGGUGGAAGCUCUUCAAUUGCACAAUCAAAUGGAUUUUGAAAUGUGAAAAAUAUCUUUGUAUUUACAUUUAGAUCCAGAAAGCCUUGCUAGAACUCUAUUUUGAAUUCGAACAGCUCAAAUAUAUCUACUGCAAAUUUGUGGAUGUAUGGAGAUCUUGCUUCUAGUUUUAGCAAGUAUAUAAAACAGCUUGAGAUUGUUUGUGAUUCAAACAAGGCACAUUAAAAGGAACCUGCAUCAGAAAUGGAGCAGCCGGACUUGAACCAUUGAGCAUAAGGAUGCAGGGGUAGCUCACAAGCUUCAUACCUGCUGGAACAGCUACUAUUGCUUUUGAAACACCUGUCACCGAACAUUCCAUCUCCCGCUAUGAUGGUUCCAUGGUGUGUCUUUGAAUGUUCCAUUAUAACCAAGUUACACUUGGCUCCAGAGGGGGAGACAGCACUCCAACUACCCUCACAAGAAUGAAAUGGUAUGGAACAGAGUAAUGAGCAAUAGAAAUAUGGAACCAAGAAGCAAUUAUAUCUUCAAAAGAGCAAAAUGAGAGCAAAUAAAAGGCCUUGCACAAGUUAGCAUACAAACAGGCCGAUCAGAAAAUCAUUUACAGAGUCCAAAUACAUGCCUUUUAGUUGUGUCUGUAAAUUAUCUCCCACAAACAUCAUGUUGUACUACUGGAGACUCAUUUCUAGAUGAUAAUAAAAAUUGGAUUUCUCAAAAGACCCUAAAACAUAUCAAAUUCAAUUUCACCAACACUGAGUGCCCCUAAUCUGGAGCCAUUGUGCUGAGCUCUGAGGCAGUAACAUAAAGAGGGCAUAGUGUCUACCCUUACAGUGCUUACAGUCUAGUUAAGACAGAGCUAUUCACAAAUAACUAUAAUAUCAUGUGUGUUGAGUAACAUAUAUGAUGGUGCAUUUGCAAGGAGGUAGGCAGAACUGAAACCAUGCAGGACAAGAAAAGCUGGAACCAUGUAGAAUGUGUUGAACAGGGCAUUCCAUGGGAAAAGUCAGUGGAUAGGAACCAGAAUCCAGCUCCCUAUCUGCAGCCCGGGACUAAGCAAGGAGGCUAAGCUAGUGCUAACUAAAUUUUCAGAACCUGUGUGCUUGGAAUGACAGGAAGCAGAGACUCUUACAUUUAAAGAGGCCCUAGAGCUAUGUCAUCCCCAAUGGCCUUGCAUAAUUGAGCAAAAUGCCCCAGAGCGUCUAUGAAGACUAGCUAGAGCUGUGCAUCGCAGAGGACCAGGCUGAGACAAUA